rnacentral:lncRNA from 1 species
CUGUGUAAAUCCUGGAUCCACCAUUUACCAGCUGUGUAACCCUGGACAACAAUUCCAUCUUUCUGACCUCAGUGUCUUUCUCUGCAAAACAGCGGUAAGAAUGAUCCUACUUCAAUAGAGUUGCUGUGAGGAUUCACUGAGAUCAUGUGUACCAAGCUCCUACAAUAGUACUGAACCCACAGCCAUGGAUCAAGACCAUUAACUUAUAAUCAGUGAUAGCCAAGAGGAUGGGAAGAGAAUAUUAAGCCUGGUGCUCUGCAAAUUAAUACUUGCAGCUUAAAAAUACGCUGGACAUGCGACAAUGGUGCUGAGUACUUUGGGGGAAGAUCACAACAGUCCUGGUAGCAGUGUCACAGCAAAAUAUUUCAGAGGUACCAGAUGAGCUAGCUCCAAGGCAAAUGAGGCAAUAUUAUGUUUAACUGUUUGUUCGGAAACUUCUUUUAUUAAAAAAGAUUUUAAAUAUUAAUGCUAUUUUCAAUACAGGUGUGAUAACACUCAAUAAAGCAUGGUGUACUUGAUAU